rnacentral:rRNA from 1 species
GUCUUUUUGAUAAUAAUUUAAAGUCUAACCUGCCCAAUGAUUAUUAUUAAAUGGCCGCGGUAUUUUGACCGUGCAAAGGUAGCAUAAUCAUUAGUUUUUUAAUUGAAAGCUGGAAUGAAUGGUUGAACGAGAAAAUUACUGUCUCAAUUUAAUUUAAUUAGAAUUUUAUUUUUAAGUUAAAAAGCUUAAAUUUAUUUAAAAGACGAGAAGACCCUAUAGAGUUUUAUAUUUUUAUGAGUAUUAUUUUUAUAAUUUUAAAUUAUUUAUUUUAAUAUUUUAUUGGGGUGAUAAAUAAAUUUAAUUAACUUUAUUUUUUUUUUUACAUAAAUUUAUGAUUAAAUGAUCCAUUUUUUAUGAUUAUAAGAUUAAAUUACCUUAGGGAUAACAGCGUUAUCUUUUUAGAGAGUUCAAAUCGAAAAAAAGGAUUGCGACCUCGAUGUUGGAUUAAAAUUAAUUUUUGGUGUAGAAGCUAAAAGUAUUAAGUCUGUUCGACUUUUAAAAUUUUACAUGAUCUGAGUUUAAACCGGUGUGAGCCAGGUUGGUUUCUAUCUUUAAAAAUAUUAAAUGUUUUAGUACGAAAGGACCAAAUAUUUGUAAUAAUUAUUAUUUAAUUGAAUAU